AGCAGCCGCGGUAAUUCCAGCUCCAAUAGCGUAUAUUAAAGUUGUUGCAGUUAAAAAGCUCGUAGUUGAAUUUCGGGAUCAAAGGAUAGGUCAUGCCUUGGUAUGUACUGGUUUUAUUGGUUCUCACCUUCUAAAGAACCAUAACGUCAUUCAUUUGAUGUUAUGGGGAAUUAGGACUGUUACCUUGAAAAAUUAGAGUGUUUAAAGCAGGCUUACGCUUGAAUACAUUAGCAUGGAAUAAUGAAAUAGGACAUCAGAUUCUAUUUUGUUGGUUUCUAGGAUCGAUGUAAUGAUUAAUAGGGAUAGUUGGGGGCAUUAGUAUUCAAUUGUCAGAGGCGAAAUUCUUGGAUUUAUUGAAGACUAACUACUGCGAAAGCAUUUGCCAAGGAUGUUUUCAUUAAUCAAGAACGAAAGUUAGGGGAUCGAAGACGAUCAGAUACCGUCGUAGUCUUAACCAUAAACUAUGCCGACUAGGGAUCGGAUGAUGUUAAUUUUAUAAUGACUCAUUCGGA
rnacentral:misc_RNA from 1 species